rnacentral:rRNA from 1 species
GUUUACGGCCACACCGCCUGGUAUACGCGUUGAUCUCGGAAGAUAAGAUAGGUUGGGCCUGGUUAGUACUUUGAUGGGAGACCGCCUGGGAAUACCAGGUGCUGUAAGCU